GUUUCUAAAUAUACAAAGUGAGAUAAACUUGUAUCCUUAGGUAUUUCAAGUAUAUUAAUGAAACGAUUUGCAAAGUUAAGAUUCUGCUUCAGUGAAGAGUAUGGUGCUGAUAAGUUUGUGGACUGAUAAAGCCUGUUGAUGAAUGGACGCCACUAACUUAGUUCAUCCUUCCCACCUUAUAGGUGGAAAAAUGGGUGUGAGCAGUCAUACGGAAACUGGGUUCUGAAUGUAAUACAGAGAGGUCACAAACUGACCAUCCCAAGGACACAAUUAUCUCGCUUUUUCUGGUCCUAUCCAUGAAGCUUGACAAGUAGAGGCAUGUAUCCAUCACCACAAUCAAGACAGAACAUUUCCACCACCCCCAGGAAGUCCCUCAUGCUACCUGCUCUUGUCAGACCCUCAACCCUUGGCAACCAUGAUCUGUUUUCCAUACCUCAUAGUUUUGCCUUUUCCAGAACGUCAUAUAAUGUGUGUUUUUCACAUGCUAUUUGACAUUUGUAUGCCUUCUUUGGUAACUUGUAUUUUAACACCAUUUGACUAAGCUGCCAAUAUUUAAAUAUUAGGAGAGUUCAAAUAAAAGUCUGACUGAGCUUGGCUAUUUGGAAGAUAAGGUGACAUUGGAUCCACAGUCCCACGUGACGAAGAUGGCUCCAGCUCUGUACGUGGUUCAAUUACGUCUGGGCCUUUGACUCAGCCUUCUUAUUCUCUCCUCAUGUUAAUUCUACUUAGGAGAAUAGUUCUUCAGUAUGUGUCAUCGUGUUUAAUCUUACAACAAGGGUAGGUGGAGAUGGCCUGUCUCUGUCUUUACCAUCUUCUAUAGCAACACUUUAAGUUACUGUUCUAGAACAAUGGAUUGAACAGAGGGAUACAAAUUCUUCAGGAUCACUGUUUUUCCUGACAUGAAAACUGAACAUGGAAAUAGGCCCUACCUGAGCUAACCAGGCCACUGAGGUCCUUCCUCUUGGAGUGCCUGUGCCAGCUGGUACCCACCGUUGCUGCUCCAGGUUCUGGUGUGACUGCUUUCAUGUUCAAAGAAAGAAAACAUCAGUAAAAGUGGUAAGAUCAUUGUUGGUGUAGUCUGUCCUGGUUUAAGCUUGGCUAUUACUUGAUUUACCACAGUAGAGGUACAGACAGAGUUUAAAUCUGAGGCGCCUGCCCUUACGUUCCUUAUGUCUGUUCCUUAUGUCUCAUAGGCUGGCAGUGCUUUUUCUUGUCUGACACCGUGGUGUACUUCUGUCUUCAGAGGCCCAGCCCAGGACCAUGUGCUGGUACUGGAGGGCAGUGGACAUUGCCCAGCUUCUGAUAAUCAUGAUUUGUCACCUUCUAAAAAUUAUUACUCAAGUAAUACAUGUUCACUGCGAAAAAGGGAAAAAACCCUAUAGUUGCAAGAUAAUCUUAUUUUUAAUAAAAGUUAAAAAAAACUCAUUUUAGACAUUGAGGGAAUGAGUUCUUCUGUUAGUAAAAUUCCUAGAUAUCUUCAUUCAACAAUGUUUUGUGCCUACUGUGUACUAGACACUGGGGUGAUAAAGGGAAGGGAGCCACAAAGAACAAGGUAGAGGUCCAGCCCUCAAGAACCUACAGCCCAGUAAGAACUUAGCAAGUCAGGAAGUGCUGGAAUGGAGGUAAAUAUAAGACUUAAGGCUUAGAGUGGAGGGGAGUACAGGAGGGGUGUGUGCGCUAAGCAUGAAGGGUAGGAAUGCUUUAGAGUCCAAGCUGCUUCAAAGGAACCUGCUAUAGGAGGGUUUGUUCUCUAGCAGAACACACGGGAUGUUUUCUAGACAAACAGAGUGAAUAAGGUAUAGAAGGAGGCCUGGAGGCAUAAGAGGCUCGGAGGGCUGCUUCUACCUAAAAGCACAAACUUUUCCAAGAGCCCCAUCACUCCUCCUUCCUAGCCACAUGUCUGCAGGCCUCGUUAUGUUUUGGAUAUAUGUGGUGCUUGUAGUGCUAAUCUCCAGACAGUUGCGAGCUAGUGGUAUCACUCAGGGAGAAUCCAAGACCCUCCCUGGAAGGUGUCUCUAUCAGCAGCAUGUUCUGACUGCCAGAAGUAAAUGUUCUACAUGGAAGCUGACUGUUGCUAGUUAGUGCGUAUUAGCAGAAAUGCAUAUCUGGAAGCAUCAAAAAUGGGGUGGCAGGACAGAGAGGAAGGAAAGAACAAAGAGCAAAGAAAACUAGUCAAGAAUACUAAAAUAAAAAUGAGCAAAAAGGUAAGGGACUUUAAUGAGUCUAGAAUCCUUAGGCAAGCCCCAUUUCUCUAUUUAGUUUCCUUAUCUGGAAAAGUCAGAUUCUAGUGUUUCUUCCAGCUCUGAUAUUUGAUGUUUUCCUAGGAGACACAUCAGUUCAGUUCACACUGUGUUCUUCAAACAACUGGGAAAGACAUCAACCAAAAUUCAUAUGCCAUCCACACUGACCUAUAGCCAAGUGCGAUGGAAGCAGCUGAGGCUACUGGGGUGGCCCUAAGGAUUGGACAGUCCUCUGCCCAAGUGCAGAGAGAUGGAAGGUUCUGUGCACACAGGAAUGAGCCCCUGGCUGCUUUCUGCUGGACUUCCUGUGCUAGCAGAGGAAAGCGUUCACCUAGGAACUGCCCCCCUCUCUGAGUACACUGGGUUGCCUUAGAAGCCCUCAGGUUGAGAAAUACCUGGUUAGGCCACAAUUAGUAAAAUUACAAGGCUGAGGAAAAGUAAAAAAAUAAGAGCCAGGAAGUGACUCAAGAACUUGAAAUAGAAAGACAUGGAAUUAUCUCUAUUUGCAAAGAAGAGAAUAACUGUUUUAGACAAAAGAAAAUAUAUAGGCCAGAGCUUGCACCUCUUGAAUUGGAUUCUGAAAAAGGAGCAUGAUAGCAAAUUUGCACAGCAGCAGCUAAGGGCAAGCCUUAGGAGUUUUUGGCAUUAGGAAGACUAGAAUAUUCUAGGUAGUGCUUCACAAUGCCUGCAUGCUGGUGAAUUAACCCAGUAGCUUUAUCUUGUCUCCUGCUCUGCAGCAUCAGACACUCUGUCUUAUCAUGGCCCUAUUGACUCAUGAGUUCUUACCCUCAGUAAUAACUGACUAGGAUGCUCAUUCGUUCAUUUGCAAGGGAAGGCAGAUCUGAAACGGUAACAGCACUGGCAGUAAUAGUAAUAAUGGAUCAUGUUAUUUAGGUAUUUGCCAGAUGUUGUCCUAGCUGCUUAUAGACAAUUUCAGUCUCACCAUUUUACAGAUGAGUGACUUGCAUGAGAUCACGUAGCUACUAAUAGGGCUAGGAUUCAAACCUAGAUCCAUUUUGAUUCCAAAGCCUGUGGUCUUUGCACAACACUGUGCCAUCUCAUCUACUCAGAACACCAAACUACAGAUCAGAGGAAGACUUGAAUAUGGAAUCAAGAAAAGACAUGAAAGUUUUGUCAUAAGCAAGAAAGUACCUUAUAAUAAGCCAUUCCAUCCCAUUUGUAGAGAGGGGAUUCUUAAAGAAUACAGCAGCAGCUGAUGAGGCAAAAAUGUUUUAAACUAGAUCCAGGGUUUGUUAAAAAAAAAACAAAACCAGCUUUAGUGUUAAGACAUGUUCACAACAAAAGUCAUGCAGAAACAAAUGAAGAAUUAUUCUAAAACAUCAUCAAAAUUUGAUAUGGCAGGGCUUCCCUGGUGGCGCAGUGGUUGAGAGUCCGCCUGCCGAUGCAGGGGACAUGGAUUCGUGCCCGGUCCGGGAAGAUCCCACAUGCCGCGGAGCGGCUGGGCCCGUGAGCCAUGGCCGCUGAGCCUGUGCUCCGCAAUGGGAGAGGCCACAGCAGUGAGAGGCCCGCGUACCGCAAAAAAAAAAAAAAUUUGAUAUGGCAAAUUAAACAUAGUCAAGAAGAAAUCAUACAGUACUUGUUUAAAGAAAAACACUUUAUGAUAAAUAAUGUAAAUCUAUGUUCACCCCAGAUAAACUAUGAAAAGAAAGUUGGUGUAAAGGUGAAAUGUCUUGGCCCAGUGAGUUUAAGGGGAACUUCCAGGAUGAAGUGAUGGAAAGCCAGGUUUGGAAAAUCAUUACUCAAAAUAGAAAAUAAGAAAACCCAGCUUGAAACUAGAAUUUCAUCCCAGGAGCAGAGGUAGCUUAUGCUAGCAGCAUGUGGGACUAUGCCAAAGAAAUGCUAGAAUAUGUACCUCGAGGAGAAAUUCUGUAAUAAAGAUUCCCAAACUUU